GCCCGGUCCCCAGUGCAGCUCGCUCCGGCCGGCACCCACCGCCCCACCACAGGCCUGCUGGCUCCAGGGUCCCCACGCUGGCCGGCUGGUCCAGAAGGCGCUGCCGCGACCGCUGCAGGAAUGAGCAGGUGAGCCGGGGAGCGAAGCGGCCAGAGAGUACGCACAGCGCAGAGGCCCAGAGACUCCAGCGCGGACACCAUGCGGCGUCCCCACGAGCGACCCAGCCUCCCGCAGUCAGGCACAUUUAGAUUUCCAGCCUUGGUUCCCCAGGCCGCUCGCGGAGCCCGGAGACCAGACAGCCAGCACUGGAUAUAUGCAGGGAAUCAUACUCCCAGGAUAUGGCCCCGAUAUGCAUCUGAAGGGUCUGGUGACAGCGGUUUUACUAAACAGUAGUACACGAUCCCGCCCCAACAGCUGCCCCCCAGGGUCCCCAAGGUCCUGGAAACCUUGCUUCCAGCGCUCCUUACAGCCUCGCUCUGUCCCUGACCCCCUCCCAACCCGAAGGUAUGUAAUCAGUCACCGGUCACAACCCCAGGGCAGCCCUUCCUGCCCACGGGUCCUGUCCCUGUGCUUUAAUGAAAUCACCUUUUUACACC